rnacentral:rRNA from 1 species
GGGUUGUGAGGUUAAGCGACUAAGCGUACACGGUGGAUGCCCUGGCAGUCAGAGGCGAUGAAGGACGUGCUAAUCUGCGAUAAGCGUCGGUAAGGUGAUAUGAACCGUUAUAACCGGCGAUUUCCGAAUGGGGAAACCCAGUGUGAUUCGUCACACUAUCAUUAACUGAAUCCAUAGGUUAAUGAGGCGAACCGGGGGAACUGAAACAUCUAAGUACCCCGAGGAAAAGAAAUCAACCGAGAUUCCCCCAGUAGCGGCGAGCGAACGGGGAGCAGCCCAGAGCCUGAAUCAGUGUGUGUGUUAGUGGAAGCGUCUGGAAAGGCGCGCGAUACAGGGUGACAGCCCCGUACACAAAAAUGCACAUGCUGUGAGCUCGAUGAGUAGGGCGGGACACGUGGUAUCCUGUCUGAAUAUGGGGGGACCAUCCUCCAAGGCUAAAUACUCCUGACUGACCGAUAGUGAACCAGUACCGUGAGGGAAAGGCGAAAAGAACCCCGGCGAGGGGAGUGAAAAAGAACCUGAAACCGUGUACGUACAAGCAGUGGGAGCACGCUUAGGCGUGUGACUGCGUACCUUUUGUAUAAUGGGUCAGCGACUUAUAUUCUGUAGCAAGGUUAACCGAAUAGGGGAGCCGAAGGGAAACCGAGUCUUAACUGGGCGUUAAGUUGCAGGGUAUAGACCCGAAACCCGGUGAUCUAGCCAUGGGCAGGUUGAAGGUUGGGUAACACUAACUGGAGGACCGAACCGACUAAUGUUGAAAAAUUAGCGGAUGACUUGUGGCUGGGGGUGAAAGGCCAAUCAAACCGGGAGAUAGCUGGUUCUCCCCGAAAGCUAUUUAGGUAGCGCCUCGUGAAUUCAUCUCCGGGGGUAGAGCACUGUUUCGGCAAGGGGGUCAUCCCGACUUACCAACCCGAUGCAAACUACGAAUACCGGAGAAUGUUAUCACGGGAGACACACGGCGGGUGCUAACGUCCGUCGUGAAGAGGGAAACAACCCAGAUCGCCAGCUAAGGUCCCAAAGUCAUGGUUAAGUGGGAAACGAUGUGGGAAGGCCCAGACAGCCAGGAUGUUGGCUUAGAAGCAGCCAUCAUUUAAAGAAAGCGUAAUAGCUCACUGGUCGAGUCGGCCUGCGCGGAAGAUGUAACGGGGCUAAACCAUGCACCGAAGCUGCGGCAGCGACGCUUAUGCGUUGUUGGGUAGGGGAGCGUUCUGUAAGCCUGCGAAGGUGUGCUGUGAGGCAUGCUGGAGGUAUCAGAAGUGCGAAUGCUGACAUAAGUAACGAUAAAGCGGGUGAAAAGCCCGCUCGCCGGAAGACCAAGGGUUCCUGUCCAACGUUAAUCGGGGCAGGGUGAGUCGACCCCUAAGGCGAGGCCGAAAGGCGUAGUCGAUGGGAAACAGGUUAAUAUUCCUGUACUUGGUGUUACUGCGAAGGGGGGACGGAGAAGGCUAUGUUGGCCGGGCGACGGUUGUCCCGGUUUAAGCGUGUAGGCUGGUUUUCCAGGCAAAUCCGGAAAAUCAAGGCUGAGGCGUGAUGACGAGGCACUACGGUGCUGAAGCAACAAAUGCCCUGCUUCCAGGAAAAGCCUCUAAGCAUCAGGUAACAUCAAAUCGUACCCCAAACCGACACAGGUGGUCAGGUAGAGAAUACCAAGGCGCUUGAGAGAACUCGGGUGAAGGAACUAGGCAAAAUGGUGCCGUAACUUCGGGAGAAGGCACGCUGAUAUGUAGGUGAAGUCCCUCGCGGAUGGAGCUGAAAUCAGUCGAAGAUACCAGCUGGCUGCAACUGUUUAUUAAAAACACAGCACUGUGCAAACACGAAAGUGGACGUAUACGGUGUGACGCCUGCCCGGUGCCGGAAGGUUAAUUGAUGGGGUUAGCGCAAGCGAAGCUCUUGAUCGAAGCCCCGGUAAACGGCGGCCGUAACUAUAACGGUCCUAAGGUAGCGAAAUUCCUUGUCGGGUAAGUUCCGACCUGCACGAAUGGCGUAAUGAUGGCCAGGCUGUCUCCACCCGAGACUCAGUGAAAUUGAACUCGCUGUGAAGAUGCAGUGUACCCGCGGCAAGACGGAAAGACCCCGUGAACCUUUACUAUAGCUUGACACUGAACAUUGAGCCUUGAUGUGUAGGAUAGGUGGGAGGCUUUGAAGUGUGGACGCCAGUCUGCAUGGAGCCGACCUUGAAAUACCACCCUUUAAUGUUUGAUGUUCUAACGUUGACCCGUAAUCCGGGUUGCGGACAGUGUCUGGUGGGUAGUUUGACUGGGGCGGUCUCCUCCUAAAGAGUAACGGAGGAGCACGAAGGUUGGCUAAUCCUGGUCGGACAUCAGGAGGUUAGUGCAAUGGCAUAAGCCAGCUUGACUGCGAGCGUGACGGCGCGAGCAGGUGCGAAAGCAGGUCAUAGUGAUCCGGUGGUUCUGAAUGGAAGGGCCAUCGCUCAACGGAUAAAAGGUACUCCGGGGAUAACAGGCUGAUACCGCCCAAGAGUUCAUAUCGACGGCGGUGUUUGGCACCUCGAUGUCGGCUCAUCACAUCCUGGGGCUGAAGUAGGUCCCAAGGGUAUGGCUGUUCGCCAUUUAAAGUGGUACGCGAGCUGGGUUUAGAACGUCGUGAGACAGUUCGGUCCCUAUCUGCCGUGGGCGCUGGAGAACUGAGGGGGGCUGCUCCUAGUACGAGAGGACCGGAGUGGACGCAUCACUGGUGUUCGGGUUGUCAUGCCAAUGGCACUGCCCGGUAGCUAAAUGCGGAAGAGAUAAGUGCUGAAAGCAUCUAAGCACGAAACUUGCCCCGAGAUGAGUUCUCCCUGACCCUUUAAGGGUCCUGAAGGAACGUUGAAGACGACGACGUUGAUAGGCCGGGUGUGUAAGCGCAGCGAUGCGUUGAGCUAACCGGUACUAAUGAACCGUGAGGCUUAACCUUACAACGCCGAAGGUGUUU